GGAUGUGAGGGCGAUCUGGCUGCGACAUCUGUCACCCCAUUGAUCGCCAGGGUUGAUUCAGCUGAUCUGGCUGGCUAGGCGGGUGUGUCCCCCUCCUCCCUCACCGAUCCAUGUGCAUCCCUCCCGAAGCUGCGCGCUCGGUCGAAGAGGACGACCUCCCCCCCGCCCCCCCAGGAGAGGACCGGUCUUCGGUCAAGGGUAUACGAGUAGCUGCGCUCCCCUGCUAGAACCUCCAAACAAGCUCUCAGAAGGUAGAGAUAUUAAUACCUGUCUCAAAAGGUUUAUAUUAUUUGGGAUGCUUGUGUUUGCAAGUGUCAGAAGCGCAACUCGG
rnacentral:snRNA from 1 species